CGCAAGCCUGACGGAGCAAGACCGCGUGCGGGAUGACGGCCUAAUGGUUGUAAACCGCUUUUCUCUGGGAAGAUGAUGACGGUACCAGAGGAAUCAGCCUCGGCUAACUCCGUGCCAGCAGCCGCGGUAAUACGGAGGAGGCAGGCGUUAUCCGGAAUUAUUGGGCGUAAAGCGUCCGUAGGUGGUUAUUCAAGUCUGCUGUCAAAGCGUGGGGCUUAACUCCAUAGAGGCAGUGGAAACUGGAUGACUUGAGUGCGGUAGGGGUCGAGGGAAUUCCCAGUGUAGCGGUGAAAUGCGUAGAUAUUGGGAAGAACACCAGUGGCGAAAGCGCUCGACUGGGCCUGCACUGACACUGAGGGACGAAAGCUAGGGGAGCG
rnacentral:rRNA from 1 species